rnacentral:rRNA from 1 species
UUGACCUCGGAUCAGGCAGGGAUACCCGCUGAACUUAAGCAUAUCAAUAAGCGGAGGAAAAGAAACCAACAGGGAUUGCCUCAGUAACGGCGAGUGAAGCGGCAACAGCUCAAAUUUGAAAUCUGGCUCUUUUAGGGUCCGAGUUGUAAUUUGUAGAGAUGCUUCGGCGUCGGCUCCGGUCUAAGUUCCUUGGAACAGGACGUCAUAGAGGGUGAGAAUCCCGUAUGUGAUCGGUUGCCUUGCCAUGUGAAGCUCCUUCGACGAGUCGAGUGUUGGGAUGCAGCUCUAAAUGGAGGUAAAUUCUCUAAGCUAAAUACUGCC